rnacentral:rRNA from 1 species
UACGUAGGGGGCUAGCGUUGUUCGGAAUUACUGGGCGUAAAGCGCACGUAGGCGGAUAUUUAAGUCAGGGGUGAAAUCCCGGGGCUCAACCCCGGAACUGCCUUUGAUACUGGGCGGCUAGAGGCAGGUAGGGGAGAGCGGAAUUCCUGGUGUAGCGGUGAAAUGCGCAGAUAUCAGGAGGAACACCGGUGGCGAAGGCGGCUCUCUGGGCCUGUCCUGACGCUCAGGCGCGAAAGCGUGGGGAGCGAACAGG